UGUUCUUCUUUUCUCGCACAAAAACAGAACACUGCGAGAGAGGGCUGAGAGAAACAGAUAGUGAGACUCGAGAGAUGGAGAGGAAGAUCAGAGGGAGAGAUCGGGAGAAUCUGAGAGAGAGGGAGAGAUGGAGCCGAGCAACCUGCCAGACCCGAGAGUGAGAAUCCGGGCAGUUCGUGAACCCAGAGACCCGAUUCUUCCGGAGGCUGGUAUUCCGGCGGCUUGAAGGCCGAUUUUCGGUGAGCCAGAGAACGCCGGUGAGCCCUGCAACCGACGAAUCCAUGGGCUAAAACCCAUCAAUCCGGAAAGGAUCCGGUAAACCCGUGAGCCCAGGGGAGGUCCGAUCCUCCAUGAUCGGCGGCCAGGACUGAAAUCCGGCGAUGGAGGAGCUUCGGCGGAACCCACGGGCUUGAACCCGGGACUCGUGAGCCCAGAAAACCCGAGAACCCGUGCGACCCGCAACCCGCCGGACCCGAGAAGAAGACCCGGUUCUUCAAAGUGAUUUUCGGAGACUUUUCCGGCGGAAUUAGUGGCGUUUUUCGGUUGAUUGGCUAUGAAAAUCCUUGGAUUGUGGUGUUAACCACAAUCACAUGCGAGUUUUGCAGGAACGAAGAUAGGAGCUGCUAGGUUGAUUAAGGACGAGACCUUUAGUUUGUAGAUUUUAUAGACAAUGAUUCUGUAAUGUUCGUGCCGCAUGUGGUACGAUUAUUAUUAUUUAAAUGUAUGUUAUUAUAUCAGAUCAAAUGGUUAUUAUUUUAUAUUGAGUUUAUUCAGUCA